rnacentral:rRNA from 1 species
AGAGUUUGAUCCUGGCUCAGAACGAACGCUGGCGGCAGGCUUAACACAUGCAAGUCGAACGGAUGUAGCAAUACAUUAGUGGCGCACGGGUGAGUAACGCGUGGGAACGUGCCUUUCAGUUCGGGAUAACAGUUGGAAACGACUGCUAAUACCGAAUAUUCUCUCCGGAGGAAAGAUUUAUCGCUGAAAGAUCGGCCCGCGUAAGAUUAGGUAGUUGGUGGGGUAAUGGCCUACCAAGCCUACGAUCUUUAGCUGGUCUGAGAGGAUGAUCAGCCACACUGGAACUGAGACACGGUCCAGACUCCUACGGGAGGCAGCAGUGGGGAAUAUUGGACAAUGGGCGAAAGCCUGAUCCAGCCAUGCCGCGUGUGUGAUGAAGGCCUUAGGGUUGUAAAGCACUUUUGUCAGGGAAGAUAAUGACGGUACCUGAAGAAUAAGCACCGGCUAACUUCGUGCCAGCAGCCGCGGUAAUACGAAGGGUGCUAGCGUUGUUCGGAAUCACUGGGCGUAAAGAGCGCGUAGGCGGCUUAGCAAGUCAGAGGUGAAAUCCCAGGGCUCAACCCUGGAAUUGCCUUUGAAACUGCUAAGCUAGAGUGUCGGAGGGGAUAGCGGAAUUGCUAAUGUAGAGGUGAAAUUCGUAGAUAUUAGCAGGAACACCGGUGGCGAAGGCGGCUAUCUGGACGACAACUGACGCUGAGGCGCGAAAGCGUGGGGAUCAAACAGGAUUAGAUACCCCAGUAGUCC